rnacentral:lncRNA from 1 species
AUAGAUAAAAUUGAUCAUAAACCCACAAUUCAUCGGUCUCAACAAACACACCGCAAAAGAAGAUUACAUCGAAUAGAUCUCCACGAGAGAGGGGGAGAACAUUGUAUUGAGAUCCAAAAAGAGAGAAGAAGCCAUCUAGCUAAUAACUAUGGACCCGAAGGUCUGAGGUAAACUACUCACACAUCAUUGGAGAGGCUAUGGUGUUGAUGUAGAAGCCCUCCGUGAUCGAUGCCCCCUCCGGCAGAGCUCCAGAACAGGCCCCAAGAUGGGAUCUCACGGGUACAGAAGGUUGCGGUGGUGGAAUUAGGUUUUUGGCUCCGUAUCUGGUAGUUUGGGGGUACGUAGGUAUAUAUAGGAGGAGGAAGUACGUCGGUGGAGCAACAUGGGGCCCACGAGGGUGGAGGGCGCGCCUGGGGGGGUAGGCGCGUCCCCCUACCUCGUGCCCUCCUGGUUGAUGUCUUGACGUAGGGUCCAAGUCCUCUGGAUCACGUUCAUUCCGAAAAUCACGUUCCCGAAGGUUUCAUUCCAUUUGGACUCCGUUUGAUAUUCUUUUUCUGUGAAACUCUGAAAUAGGCAAAAAACAACAAUUCUGGGCUGGGCCUCCGGUUAAUAGGUUAGUCCCAAAAAUAAUAUAAAAGUGUAUAAUAAAUCCCAUUAAUGUCCAAAACAGAAUAUAAUAUACAUGGAACAAUCAAAAAUUAUAGAUACGUUGGAGACGUAUCAAGCAUCCCCAAGCUUAAUUCCUGCUCGUCCUCGAGUAGGUAAAUGAUAAAAACAGAAUUUUUGAUGUGGAGUGCUACUUAGCGUAAUUUCAAUAUAAUUCUUCUUAUUCUGGCAUGAAUGUUCGGAUUUGAUAUGAUUCAAGAUAAAAGUUUAAUGUUGACAUAAAAACAAUAAUAUUUCAAGCAUACUAACUAAGCAAUUAUGUCUUAUCAAAAUAACAUAGCCAAAGCAAGUUAUCCCUACAAAAUCAUAUAGUCUGGCUAUGCUCCUUCUUCCCCACACAAAAUAUUCAUAUCAUGUAUGACCCCGGUUUUAGCCAAGCAAUUGGUCCAUACUGUUAACGCGCUUCAGCCUUUUCAACUCUUACGCAAUACAUGAGCGCAAGCCAUGGAUAUAGCACUAUGGUGCAAUAAGGUAUAAUGGUAGGGGUUAUGUGGGAAGACAAAAAAGGAGAAAGUCUCACAUCAACGAGGCUAAUCAACGAGCUAUGAAGAUGCCCAUCAAUUGAUGUUAAUGCGAGGAGUAGGGAUUGCCAUGCAACGGAUGCACUAGAGCUAUAAGUGUAUGAAAGCUCAAAAUGAAACUAAGUGGGUGUGCAUCCAACUUGCUUGUUCACGAAGACCUCGGGCAUUUGAGGAAGCCCAUCAUUGGAAUAUACAAGCCAAGUUCUAUAAUGAAAUUUCCCACUAGUAUAUGAAAGUGACAAAAUGAGAGACUCUCUAUUAUGAAGAUCACGGUGCUACUUUGAAGCACAAGUGUGGUAAAAGGAUAGUAACAUUGUCCCUUCUCUCUUUUUCUCUCAUUUUUUGGGCCUUUUCUCUCUCUCUUUUUUAUGGCCUCCUUUUUUUAUUUAGUCCAGAGUCUCAUCCCGACUUGUGCGGGAAUCAUAGUCUCCAUCAUCCUUUCCUCACUUGGGACAAUGCUCUAAUAAUGAUGAUCAUCACACUUUUAUUUACUUACAACUCAUGAAUUACAACUCAAUACUUAGAAAAAAAUAUGACUCUAUAUGAAUGCCUCCGGCGGUGUACCGGGAUAUGCAAUGAAUAAAGAGCGACAUGUAUGAAAUAAUUAUGAACGGUGGCUUUGCCACAAAUACAAUGUCAACUACAUGAUCAUGCAAAGCAAUAUGACAAUAAUGGAGCGUGUCAUGAUAAACGAAACGGUGGAAAGUUGCAUGGCAAUAUAUCUCGGAAUGGCUAUGGAAAUGCCAUGAUAGGUAGGUAUGGUGGCUGUUUUGAGGAAUAUAUAAGGAGGUUUAUGUGUGAUAGAGCGUAUCAUAUCACGGGGUUUGGAUGCACCGGCGAAGUUUGCACCAACUCUCAAGGUGAGAAAGGGCAGUGCACGGUACCGAAGAGGCUAGAAAAUUGCGGAAAGGUAAGUGUGCGUAUAAUCCAUGGACUCACAUUAGUCAUAAAGAACUCAUAUACUUAUUGCAAAAAUUUAUUAGCCUUCGAAGCAAAGUACUACUACGCAUGCUCCUAGGGGAAGGGUUGGUAGGAGUUAACCAUCGCGCGAUCCCGACCGCCACACAAAGGAAGAAAAUCAACAAAUACCUCAUGCUCCGACUUCGUUACAUAACGGUUCACCAUACGUGCAUGCUACGGGAAUCACAAACUCCAACACAUGUAUUUUUCAAUUCCACUAUUACUCAACUAGCACAACUAUGAUAUUACCACCUUUAUAUCUCAAAACAAUUAUCAAGCAUCAAAUUUCUCAUGAUAUUAAUUAAAGCAAAUUGCCAUGCUAUUUUAAGAUCCUCAAAAUAAUAUAAGUGAAGCAUGAGAGAUCAAUAGUUUCUAUAAAACAAAUCCACCAUCGUGCUCUAAAAGAUAUAAGUGAAGCCCUAGAGCAAAACUAUAUAGCUCAAAAAAUAUAAGUGAAGCACAUAGAGUAUUCUAAUAAAGUCCGAAUCAAGUGUGACCCUCUCAAAAGGUGUGUACAGAAAGGAUGAUUGUGGUAAACUAACAAAUAAAGACUCAAAUAAUACAAGACGCUCCAAGCAAAACACAUAUCAUGUGGUGAAUAAAAAUAUAGCUCCAAGUAAAGUUACCAAUGGAAGUAGACGAAAGAGGGGAUGCCUUCCGGGGCAUUCCCAAGCUUUGGCUUUUAGGUGUCCUUAGAUUAUCUUGGGGUGCCAUGGGAAUCCCCAAGCUUAGGCUCUUGCCACUCCUUGUUCCAUAAUCCAUCAAAUCUUUCACCCAAAACUUGAAAACUUCACAACACAAAACUCAGGAGAAAAUCUCGUGAGCUCCGUUAGCGAAAGAAAACAAAAGACCACUUCAAGGUACUGUAAUGAACUCAUUCUUUAUUUAUAUUGGUGUUAAACCUAUUGUAUUCCAACUUCUCUAUGGUUUAUAAACUAUUUUACUAGCCAUAGAUUCAUCAAAAUAAGCAAUCAACACACGAAAAACAGAAUCUGUCAAAAACAGAACAGUCUGUAGUAAUCUGUAACUAACGCAAACUUCUGGAACUCCAAAACAUCUACCAAAAUAGGAAGACCUAGACAAUUCGUUUAUUGAUCAGCAGCAAUUGGAAUCAAUAUUUUAUCACGUUCUGGUGACUUUUAACAAUUAUUUUCGUGAACAUAAAGUUUCUGGAAUUUACAGCAAGAUCAAAUAACUAUCAUCCAAGAAGAUCCUAUAGGUUAAACGUGGCACAAACACUAAUUAAUACAUAAAAAGACAUCUAACCAGAGGCUAGAUAAAAUAUUUAUUCCUAAACAGAAGCAAAAAAGAAAAAAAAACUAAAAAUAAAAUUGGGUUGCCUCCCAACAAGCGCUAUCGUUUAACACCCCUAGCUAGGCAUAAUAGCAAGGAUAGAUCUAGGUAUUGCCAUCUUUGGUAGGCAAUCCAUAAGUGGCUCUCAUAAUAGAUUCAUAAGGUAAUUUUAUUUUCUUUCUAGGGAAGUGUUCCAUGCCUUUCCUUAACGGAAAUUGGAAUCUAUUAUUUCCUUCCUUCAUAUCAAUAAUUGCACCAAUCGUUCUAAGGAAAGGUCUACCAAGAAUAAUAGGACAUGAAGGAUUGCAAUCUAUGUCAAGAACAAUAAAAUCUAUGGGCACAUAAUUCCUAUUUAAAACAAUAAGAACAUCAUUAAUUCUUCCCAUAGGUUUCUUAAUAGUGGAAUCCGCAAGGUGCAAGUUUGAAGAGCAAUCAUCAAAAUCACGGAAACCUAGCAAAUCGCACAAAGUCUUUGGAAUCGUGGAAACACUAGCACCCAAAUCACACAAAGCGUAGCAUUCAUGAUCUUGAAUUUUAAUUUUAAUAGUAGGUUCCCAUUCAUCAUAAAGUUUUCUAGGGAUAGGAACUUCCAACUCGAGUUUUUCUUCAUAAGAUUGCAUCAAAGCAUGAACGAUAUGUUUAGUAAAAGCUUUAUUUUGACUAUAAGCACGUGGAGAAUUUAGCACGGAUUGCAACAAGGAAAUACAAUCUAUCAAAGAGCAAUUAUCAUAAUUAAAUUCCUUGAAAUCCAAAAUAGUGGGUUCAUUAAUAUCUAGAGUUUUGACUUCUUCAUUCCCACUUUUAUCAAAUUUAGCAUCAAGAUCUAAAAACUCCGAAUUUUUGGAAUGCCUUAUAGGUAAAGGUGGAUCAUAUUCUGUCUCAUCAUUAUCAAGAUUCAUAUUGCAAAACAAAGAUUUAAUAGGAGACACAUCAAUAACUUUUAGAUCUUCAUCUUUGUUUUCAUAAAAAUUAGAAGAACAUGCUUUUACAAAGCAAUCUUUCUUAGCACGCAUCCUAGCGGUUCUUUCUUUGCACUCAUCAAUGGAAAUUCUCAUGGCCUUGAGAGACUCAUUGAUAUCAUGCUUAGGUGGAAUAGAUCUAAGUUUCAAAGAAUCCACAUCAAGAGAAAUUCUAUCAACGUUCCUAACCAAUUCAUCAAUCUUAGGCAACUUUUCUUCAAGCAAAGCAUUGAAAUUCUUUUGCGAAUUCAUAAAUUCUUUAACACUAGUCUCAAAUUCAGAAGGUAUCUUAUUAAAAUUUCCAUAAGGAUUGUUGUAGGAAUUACCAUAAUUAUUAGAGGAAUUACUAGGAUACGGCCUAGGAUUAAAGUUUCCUCUAUACGCGUUGUUACCAAAAUUAUUCCUACCAACAAAAUUCACAUCCAUAGAUUCAUUAUUAUUCUCAAUCAAAGUAGACAAAGGCAUAUCAUUAGGAUCAGAAGAAACACUUUUAGUAGCAAAUAAUUUCAUAAGUUCAUCCAUCUUUCCACUCAAAACAUUAAUUUCUUCUAUCGCAUGCACUUUUUUACCAGCAGAUCUUUCAGUGUGCCAUUGAGAAUAAUUAACCAUAAUAUUAUCUAGGAAUUUAGUAGCUUCUCCUAAAGUGAUUUCCAUAAAAGUGCCUCCCGUGGCCGAAUCUAGAAGAUUUCUAGAAGCAAAGUUCAACCCGGCAUAAUUUUUUUGUAUAAUCAUCCACAAAUUCAAACCAUGAGUAGGGCAAUUACGUAUCAUUAAUUUCAUCCCCUCCCAAGCUUGUGCAACAUGUUCAUGAUCAAGUUGCUUACAAUUCAUAAUAUCAUUUCUAAGAGAGAUGAUCUUAGCGGGAGGAAAAUACUUAGAGAUAAUAGCAUCUUUGCACUUAUUCCAAGAAUCAAUACUAUUUUUAGGCAAAGAUGGAAACCAAGCUUUAGCCGGUCUCUAAGCGAAAAAGGAAAUAGCUUCAAUUUAACCAUCUGGACAUUUUGUGCAGUUCCACUAAAAUCAAGCUGAGCAUCCCUAUGGAUAUCGUAUUUAUAUGCUGCAAGAAAACAAAGACACAGCAGCACACACAUGAAUAUUGGCCCCCGUGUCAACCCACCAAUCGGUGGACUAACAAACUGAAAGUAUGGUAAAUAGAUUACCAUACCCAAAUGCCCCAUCAUUGUUGCUUAGAAUGAGAUUGACAGAUUUGGAGUCCUGUCCUGGCUUCCUCUACUUGUUUGGGCACUUUUUGCCCAGUGCACUCCACGUGUUGUAGAGUUUCCUAUGCUCUCUGCAGACUAGUCAUGUCACCAGCGUCUACUAAUACUCUGUAAAGCUUCUCGAUCAUUCCUUGUGUAAUGUAUCGCAAACAGUGACUGCUACUUUCUGCAAAGGGGUAAGACCAACUGGACCCACUAAUGUAGCAGUUUGCCUUAGACACAUUGGCUCCUUUUGUGCAGUUCAACUAAAAUCAAAGUCGGAAUAAAACCGAGCUUUAAUUUUGAUAUCCCUGUAAGCAACAAAAGGUAUAAGGGAAACAAUUACUGACAAAUAACGGUUGAUGACUACUACCUCUUGAGCACUGCAUUGGUUUUCCCUUGAAGAGGAAACGGUGAUGCAGCAAAGCAGCGUAAGUAUUUCCCUCGGUUUUGAGAACCAAGGUAUCAAUCCAGUAGGAGACCACGCACGAGUCCCUCGCACCUGCACAAACAAAUAAAUCCUCGCAACCAACGCGAUAAGGGGUUGCCAAUUCCUACACGGUCACUUACGAGAGUGAGAUCUAAUAGAUAUGAUAAGAUAAUAUUUUUGGUAUUUUUAUGAUAAAGAUGCAAAGUAAAAUAAAAGGCAAUAAAAAUAACUAAGUGUUGGAAGAUUAAUAUGAUAGGAAAUGGACCCGGGGGCCAUAGGUUUCACUAGUGGCUUCUCUCAAGAGCAUAAGUAUUAUGGUGGGUGAACAAAUUACUUUUGAGCAAUUGAUAGAAUUGAGCAUAGUUAUGAGAAUAUCUAGGUAUGAUCAUGUAUAUAGGCAUCACGUCCGAGACAAGUAGACCGACUCCUGCCUGCAUCUACUACUAUUACUCCACAUAUCGACCGCUAUCCAGCAUGCAUCUAGAGUAUUAAGUUCAAAAGAACAGAGUAACGCUUUAAGCAAGAUGACAUGAUGUAGAGGGAUAAACUCAUGCAAUAUGAUAUAAACCCCAUCUUGUUAUCCUCGAUGGCAACAAUACAAUACGUGCCUUGCUGCCCCUGCUGUCACUGGGAAAGGACGCCGCAAGAUUGAACCCAAAGCUAAGCACUUCUCCCAUUGCAAGAAAGAUCAAUCUAGUAGGCCAAACCAAACUGAUAAUUCGAAGAGACUUGCAAAGAUAACCAAUCAUACAUAAAAGAAUUCAGAGGAGAUUCAAAUAUUGUUCAUAGAUAAAUUUGAUCAUAAACCCACAAUUCAUCGGUCUCAACAAACACACCGCAAAAGAAGAUUACAUCGAAUAGAUCUCCACGAGAGAGGGGAAGAACAUUAUAUUGAGAUCCAAAAAGAGAGAAGAAGCCAUCUAGCUAAUAACUAUGGACCCGAAGGUCUGAGCUAAACUACUCACACAUCAUCGGAGAGGCUAUGGUGUUGAUGUAGAAGCCCUCCAUGAUCGAUGCCCCCUCCGGCGGAGCUCCAGAACAGGCCCCAAGAUGGGAUCUCACGGGUACAGAAGGUUGCGGUGGUGGAAUUAGGUUUUUGGCUCCGUAUUUGGUAGUUUGGGG